rnacentral:rRNA from 1 species
AUUGAACGCUGGCGGCAUGCUUUACACAUGCAAGUCGAACGGCAGCGCGGGCUUCGGCCUGGCGGCGAGUGGCGAACGGGUGAGUAAUGCAUCGGAACGUGCCCAGUAGUGGGGGAUAGCCCGGCGAAAGCCGGAUUAAUACCGCAUACGACCUGAGGGUGAAAGCGGGGGACCGAAAGGCCUCGCGCUAUUGGAGCGGCCGAUGUCGGAUUAGCUAGUUGGUGGGGUAAAGGCUUACCAAGGCGACGAUCCGUAGCUGGUCUGAGAGGACGACCAGCCACACUGGGACUGAGACACGGCCCAGACUCCUACGGGAGGCAGCAGUGGGGAAUUUUGGACAAUGGGGGCAGCCCUGAUCCAGCCAUGCCGCGUGCGGGAAGAAGGCCUUCGGGUUGUAAACCGCUUUUGUUCGGGAAGAAAUCCUCUGGGCUAAUACCCCGGGGGGAUGACGGUACCGGAAGAAUAAGCACCGGCUAACUACGUG